CAAGAUUCUAAGAUUUUGUUAUAUAAAACACCAGGGCGCACUCGACCUCUCUCAGACGCGCGCGAGCACACUCCCUCCCUCGAUGCUUCGGAGAUCGCUCUCUCGAGCGUCCCCUCUCCUCUCCAAUGGCCUCCUCCAAACCCUUCCUCUCCCGUUCGCUCCCUCGACUCGAUCGCUUAGGUCCUUGUCUUCUCAUACCACUCCUCAAACCCUAAACCCUUCUCCGUCUCAAGAAGAAGAAUCCCAUGAGAAUCUCCGAGAUUCCUCCCGCCCAACGGUGUCCGUCUCAAUCGACCGCUCCGGCUUGCACAAUUCACCAGAGCACUCCCACAAUCCUUCUUCAGACUCCGAGCUUGUUAAGCAUCUCAAGAGUAUCAUUAAGAUUUUGUUAGUGAUAGCUAGGGCACUGGAAAGAAGAGGUCACAGGCACGGUGAGGCGGUUUUUAGGCAGUCAAGAAAGAAGGACAGAGAGGAAAAGGAGCAAAAGAAAGAAAGAAGGUGUAAGUCGAGGGAUGUGGAGUUUGAGUUCCGUGGAGGUCCUAUUUCAGUCGCUGAAUACAUGGAAGAAGUUUUGACAAAUCCUCAUUCAGGUUUCUACAUCAAUCAAGAUGUAUUUGGAGCUGGAGGUGAUUUUAUUACGUCCCCUGAAGUGAGCCAGAUGUUUGGAGAGGUAAUUUCAUUGAUGAUCGGUGUGUGGACUAUGUGCCUUUGGGAGCAGAUGGGACAGCCUGAAGAAGUGAAUUUAAUUGAACUUGGCCCAGGACGUGGGACGCUUAUGGCUGAUCUUCUCCGUGGCUCUUCUAAAUUUGUGAAUUUUAAAAAGACUCUUCACAUUCACAUGGUAGAGUGCAGUCCUACCUUGCAGAAGCUUCAAUACAGUGCUUUAAAAUGUGUGGAUGAAGCUGUGAAUGAAGAUGGUAGUACUAAAAGGACAAUUAGCAUGUUAUCUGGAUCUCCUGUUUCUUGGCAUUCCACUCUGGAACAGGUUCCAUUAGGAACACCAACCAUUAUCAUUGCGCAUGAAUUCUAUGAUGCUCUGCCAAUCCAUCAGUUUCAGAAAUCUUCACGUGGUUGGUGUGAAAAAAUGGUAGAUGUGUCCGAAGAUUCUCUCAAUUUUCGCUUUGUUUUAUCUCCAAUGCCCACUCCUGCAACUCUAUUAUAUCUGAGAAAGCGUUGUCAGUGGGCUUCUGCUGAGGAGGUAGCCAAGCUUGACCAUAUUGAAGUGUGUCCCAAAGCAAUGGAGCUGACUCAUCAAAUUGCAAAGAGAAUUAGUUCAGAUGGUGGUGGGGCUCUCAUUAUUGAUUAUGGGAAAAAUGGAAUUAUUUCAGACAGUUUACAGGCUAUUCAGAAGCAUAAAUUUGUGAACAUACUAGACAAUCCUGGUUCGGCUGAUCUGAGUGCAUAUGUCGAUUUUGCUUCUAUUAGACAUUCUGCCAAAGAAGUUUCAGAACAUAUAUCGGUUCAUGGCCCAAUUACUCAAUCGCAGUUCUUAGGUUAUCUUGGUAUCAACUUCCGAGUAGAAGCCUUGUUACAAAACUCCACCGAGGAACAAGCAGAGUCUCUGAAGACAGGCUAUUGGCAACUGGUUGGAGAUGGUGAAGCUCCAUUUUGGGAGGGCCCUAACGAGCAGACACCUAUUGGUAUGGGUAAUCGAUAUUUGGCAAUGGCAAUUGUGAACAAGAAGCAAGGUGUUCCGGUUCCAUUUGAAUGAAAUGCUAUUCCAAGUCAGACAAAGUAAAGUACACAGUCGAAGCAAAAGAAGCUACCUGUGUGUUUUUAUUUCUGUUCUCUGUGGCUCAUACUUAACAAUGAAAUAUGGAGGCUUCCUUGUCUGCUGCUUCCAUUCAUAUUUCAGCCAAUCCGGCCUAUGGUCAGUGGGAUCAUAUGGUUGCCGUACCUAAUGGCAAGGUUGGCAACUGCUGAAGCAUUUUUUCCAACCAGUCAUCUGAUUUGUAUCUGUUAACCAAAGCAUUGUUCUGUAGCUGCAGUAGCCUCCUGUCAGCUUCCUGAAUGCUACGAGUGAAAAAUGAGAGCAACCUGAGGCAGGUAGGCUGGUUUAUGCCGGUCAAACCUUAAAUCUACAGUAGCUGGAUAUAAAUUCCAGGAACGAAAAUAAAUUCUCGUUUAGUGUUUUGUGAGAUGUGGAGCUGCUGUAUCUAUAUUUUGUCCUGCACCAGGUGAAGAGAAAAACCAAAAGCAUUUCAUGGCUGAUGGUGAAAGGGAGAAGCUUUUGAACGGUUAUUUACUUUGCAAUCCUAAAGUUUCACAGGAUGUUCCAAAUAACCUUUCAUAUGGUUCGUUUUUUGUUAUAGUUGGUUAGUACUCCACCUCGGCCAAAUAAGUCACCCUAUGAUAGUAUUUAGAACGAUAACUUAUUG